rnacentral:misc_RNA from 1 species
AAGUCGUAACAAGGUUUCCGUAGGUGAACCUGCGGAAGGAUCAUUGAGAGAUAGGGGUCUUCAUGGCCCGACUCCAACCCCUGUUGUUAUAACUACCUUUUGCUUUUGGGGGACCGUCUCGGUCUCCGAGCGCACUAACCUUCGGGUUGGUGAGCGCCCGCCAGAGUCCAACCAAACUCUUGUAUUAAACCAGUCGUCUGAGUAUAAAAUUUUAAUUAAAUUAAA